CAACCUUAUUGAACAUGUAUGUUCACAACAAAUAGGACAUGCAAUUUUUCCUUUGACGGGCCAUCCAGACACAUUUUCGUAAGCAGGGAAGUCAUGUAUUGUCCACAUCAAAAUAGCUUUUAAGUUAAAUGUAGACUUUACAAUUGCAUCAUACAUCUCAACCCCAUCACUCCAUAACAAUAUUAAGUCGUCUAUAAGUGGUGCCAAAUAAACAUCUAUGUCAUUACCUAGCUGCUUUGGUCCUGGGAUUAAUAAACUCAACCUCAAAUUUUCCUUCGACAUGCAUGAUGAGGGAGGCAAGUUGUAUAUAGUUAAAAUAACUGGCCAACAACUAUAUUUAGAGCUAAGAUCUUUGAAAGGAUUGAAUCCAUCGGUGGCAAGACCUAAUCUCAUAUUUCGAGGAUCUGAUGCAAAAUGUGACCACUUUCUGUUUAUCAUUUCCCACCCCAAUGAAUCAACCGGAUGCCUCAUUUUACCAUCUGAACUCUUAUUAUUUGAGUGCCAUCUAAGUUGUUUUGCCAUCUCUUCUAUUCCAAACAUCCUCUUAAGUCUUGGUAUGAUAGGGAAAUAACGCAAGACUUUUGCUGGAAUGUUUUUUUUAACUUUCUUAGUUUGUUGGUUAACUUUCCAUCUUGAGCAACCACAUUUUGGACAUAAUUCAGCAUGUUCAAACUCCUUCCUAUAUAGACAACAAUCAUUCAAGCAAGUGUGUAUCUUUUCAUAGCCAAGAUUAAAUAUAUUCACAAGUUUUUUCAUCUCAUAAAAUGAGUUAAGAAGUGUAUUAUUCUGUGGUAGCAUGUCCCGCACAAGAUUUAUGAAUUCAUCGAAACCACUAUCUGAUAAACCAUGUGUAGCUUUGUAUUUAAACAUAGCAACUGAAGUUGACAUCUUCGUAAACGCCAUACAACCAGGAUACAAAGGGGUUUCCACAUCGCUAACUAAACGUUGAAUGUCUUCCUCUAUUCCAUCAUGAGGAUUUUCAGAAUCUACAUCAUGUUGUGCAUAUAAGUCCCUAAACAUCCUACAUGACUCGGGCAUUUCUACGUCGACCAAAUUUGAUUUCCUUGGCAUUUCUGCAUAAAAUACCCAAUCAGUGUAUGUAGGAUUCAUGCCCUUAAUAAUUAAAUGCUCGUACACUAUUUCAUAAUUGUGAUGCUUUAGAUUUCUACACUUAAUACAUGGGCAUCCUAUCAUUUCUGACUUUAGAGUUUCACGAGCUAGUUCUACAAACUUCCGUGCUCCAUCUCUGUAUUGUUCUGAAAAUCUAUAACAACAAUACCGUUAAAAAUUUUAUAUUAUUGUUUAAAUUUUGAAACUAGAUUUAUAAGAUUUUAUUUCGGACAGUGACCUUGAUAAUUACAGCCAUUCUUUGUCCAUUAUGAUACUAUCAAACAUUGAACAACAACAAUUCAAAUUGUGAACUAAUCUUGGUAAUUUGCAACACAAGCAAAUGUGUGAGAGCAUAAUAUUCAUAUUGAAAGGAAAGUAGAUUAGAGUAAGUCUCCUGAAUGUCAUACCUGGUAUUCUGCUUCCAGAAGAACGCAGUCUAAUGAAUAAGAUUGUUGAAAGCAAGCUGUAAUUUUACAAAAGCUUAGACAAGAAAAGAAUUUUUGUGAGCAAGGCAUGAAAUCAAACACCAUAUUCUAAAUAUUGCCUAGUUUAGCAGUCUUUACAAGAAAUAAUCAAGAUUUUACAAUAUGGAAAAAUUAUAAAACUUAUAGGACUAGGAUUGGUAUAUGUUGUCUAAUAAAUUUUGGCCUAUUAAUUAAGACAUUUGAAUAAUUUAGAUGCAUUUUUACCAAAGUUUUUUUUAUAUAAUAGGUUCCUUUAUUAAAGGUCUGAUCUUUUUAAUUGGAACUUUGUUCUUUUCUUUUGGGGUUUUUAGGUAAAGCAAUUUUUCAGUGAUAGCACUAUACUUGAUGUGGGUGGUUAAGGUUUUAUCAUUUAUUGGCCAUUAAGACAUUAAAUAGUUUAGAUUCAGAUUUUUAUCAAGUUUUUGUUUUUGACAUGGCUCAUUAGUUAAAAGUUUGAUCCUUUCAAUUGACA
rnacentral:lncRNA from 1 species